ensembl:misc_RNA Metazoa_SRP Metazoan signal recognition particle RNA
GCUGGGUUUAGGUCUGCGUGCCUGUCGUCCCAGCUACUCGGGAGACUGCGGCUGGAGGAUCACUUGAGCCCAGGAGUUCAGGGCUGUAGUGCGCUAUGCAAAUCGGGUGUCCGCACUAAGUUCGGCAUCAAUAUGGUGACCUCCCGGGAGCGGGGGACCACCAGGUUACCUAAAUAGGGGUGAACUAGCCCAGGUCGGAAAUGGAGCAUGUCAAAACUCCCCUACUGAUCAGUAGUGGGAUCUUGCCUGUGAAUAGCCACCACAGCCUGGGCAAAAUAGCGAGACCCUGUGUCUA